GACGAACGCUGGCGGCGUGCCUAAUACAUGCAAGUAGAACGCUGAAGGAGGAGCUUACUUCUCUGGAUGAGUUGCGAACGGGUGAGUAACGCGUAGGUAACCUGCCUGGUAGCGGGGGAUAACUAUUGGAAACGAUAGCUAAUACCGCAUAAGAGUAGAUGUUGCAUGGCAUUUACUUAAAAGGUGCAAUUGCACCACCACCAGAUGGACCUGCGUUGUGUUAGCUAGUUGGUGGGGUAACGGCUUACCAAGGCGACGAUACAUAGCCGACCUGAGAGGGUGAUCGGCCACACUGGGACUGAGACACGGCCCAGACUCCUACGGGAGGCAGCAGUAGGGAAUCUUCGGCAAUGGACGGAAGUCUGACCGAGCAACGCCGCGUGAGUGAAGAAGGUUUUCGGAUCGUAAAGCUCUGUUGUAAGAGAAGAACGAGUGUGAGAGUGGAAAGUUCACACUGUGACGGUAUCUUACCAGAAAGGGACGGCUAACUACGUGCCAGCCGCCGCAGUAA
rnacentral:rRNA from 1 species